UAGGGAAUCUUCGGCAAUGGGGGGAACCAUGACCGAGCAACGCCGCGUGAGUGAAGAAGGUUUUCGGAUCGUAAAGCUCUGUUGUUAAGGAAGAACGAGUGUGAGAAUGGAAAGUUCAUGCUGUGACGGUACUUAACCAGAAAGGGACGGCUAACUACGUGCCAGCAGCCGCGGUAAUACGUAGGUCCCGAGCGUUGUCCGGAUUUAUUGGGCGUAAAGCGAGCGCAGGCGGUUAGAAAAGUCUGAAGUGAAAGGCAGUGGCUCAACCAUUGUAGGCUUUGGAAACUGUUUAACUUGAGUGCAGAAGGGGAGAGUGGAAUUCCAUGUGUAGCGGUGAAAUGCGUAGAUAUAUGGAGGAACACCGGUGGCGAAAGCGGCUCUCUGGUCUGUAACUGACGCUGAGGCUCGAAAGCGUGGGUAGCAAACAGG
rnacentral:rRNA from 1 species